rnacentral:rRNA from 1 species
CCCAGACUCCUACGGGAGGCAGCAGUGGGGAAUAUUGGGCAAUGGGCGCAAGCCUGACCCAGCAACGCCGCGUGAAGGAAGAAGGCUUUCGGGUUGUAAACUUCUUUUGUCAGGGACGAAGCAAGUGACGGUACCUGACGAAUAAGCCACGGCUAACUACGUGCCAGCAGCCGCGGUAAUACGUAGGUGGCAAGCGUUAUCCGGAUUUAUUGGGUGUAAAGGGCGUGUAGGCGGGAAUGCAAGUCAGAUGUGAAAACCAUGGGCUCAACCCAUAGCCUGCAUUUGAAACUGUAUUUCUUGAGUGCUGGAGAGGCAAUCGGAAUUCCGUGUGUAGCGGUGAAAUGCGUAGAUAUACGGAGGAACACCAGUGGCGAAGGCGGAUUGCUGGACAGUAACUGACGCUGAGGCGCGAAAGCGUGGGGAGCAAACAGGAUUAGAUACCCCUGUA